rnacentral:tRNA from 3 species
GGGCCUGUAGCUCAGUUGGUUAGAGCAGCGGACUCAUAAUCCGUUGGUCCCCAGUUCAAGUCUGGGCGGGCCCA